rnacentral:rRNA from 1 species
UACAGAGGUCCCGAGCGUUGUUCGGAUUCACUGGGCGUAAAGGGUGCGUAGGCGGUUCUGAAAGUCUGAUGUGAAAUCUCCGGGCCCAACCCGGAAAUGGUAUUAGAAACUACAGGGCUAGAGGCUUGGAGGGGGAACUGGAAUUCUCGGUGUAGCAGUGAAAUGCGUAGAGAUCGAGAGGAACACCAGUGGCGAAGGCGAGUUCCUGGACAAGUCCUGACGCUGAGGCACGAAAGCCAGGGGAGCAAACAGG